AACCUGAGCAACAGAGCAAGACCCUGUCUCAAAAAAAAAAGCCUCAAUACCUGAAACAGAGCUGGCAUGUGGCAUAUCCUCAGAAACAUUUGCUAAAUGACACCUAGUCUAUAGGAGGAGGACUCAUUCUUAACCAUUAGAUUUAGCCAUGCAGAAGUCAGAUCAAGAGUAAACAGAGCAAGAACAGUUUUGGUGCUGUGAUGGGUCAAAAGCCUGAGUCAGAUUACAUGUAUAUAAAUUACCUAGUAACGAGCAUGACCUCUGUCCAAGCAGAAGGCAAGCAGGGGAGAAGAUUUAGCUGCUCAACUACAGUUAUUCUCUCAACCCAAGCUAAGGUGGUACAAGGAAGAAUGGCAGAUUGGCAGAUUGGGUGGCCAGGAGGCUUCACAGAGACCCCGUUGAGAAUCCAGUAAAACCUAUGGUUCCUCUUUUAAGAAAAAUACAUGGGCACGCACAAAAAAACCUUAGUGUUUGUUUCCCUGGUCUUUGUUUCCACACAUGCCCUGAAGCCCAGCUGUGAUGCAGGUUAAGAAUCUCUACCCUGGAUUCCAAAGUGGUUAGUAGCAUUUCUUG
rnacentral:lncRNA from 1 species